UGGGGAAUUUUGCACAAUGGGGGAAACCCUGAUGCAGCGACGCCGCGUGAUUUAGAAGGCCUUCGGGUUGUAAAAAUCUUUUCUAUGGGAAUAAAAUGACAGUACCAUAGGAAUAAGGACCUGCUAAUUACGUGCCAGCAGCCGCGGUAAUACGUAAGGUCCGAGCGUUGUCCGGAAUCAUUGGGCGUAAAGGGUACGUAGGCGGGUAAGCAAGUUAGAAGUGAAAUCCUAUAGCUCAACUAUAGUAAGCUUUUAAAACUGCUCAUCUUGAGGUAUGGAAGGGAAAGUGGAAUUCCUAGUGGAGCGGUGAAAUGCGCAGAUAUUAGGAGGAAUACCGGUGGCGAAGGCGACUUUCUGGCCAUAACCUGACGCUGAGGUACGAAAGCGUGGGUAGAAAACAGG
rnacentral:rRNA from 1 species